GGAUUCUUGGAAGGACUCAGAAUCUCCUUGCAAGUUCUAUGGAAUUACAUGUGAUAAAAAUACUGGUCUUGUUAUCGAAAUUUCGCUUGAUAAUAAAUCGCUUUCCGGGGUGAUAUCACCUUCAAUCUUUUCACUCAAAAGUCUCACUUCUCUUGUGUUACCUUCAAAUGCACUAUCAGGGAAACUUCCUAGUGAAGUUACCAACUGCACCAGUCUCAGAGUCUUGAAUGUCACAGUAAAUAACAUGAACGG
rnacentral:misc_RNA from 1 species